GACGAACGCUGGCGGCGUGCUUAACACAUGCAAGUCGAACGGAAAGGCCCUGCUUUUGUGGGGUGCUCGGGUGGCGAACGGGUGAGUAACACGUGAGUAACCUGCCCUUGACUUUGGGAUAACUUCAGGAAACUUGGGCUAAUACCGGAUAGGAGCUCCUGCUGCAUGGUGGGGGUUGGAAAGUUUCGGCGGUUGGGGAUGGACUCGCGGCUUAUCAGCUUGUUGGUGGGGUAGUGGCUUACCAAGGCUUUGACGGGUAGCCGGCCUGAGAGGGUGACCGGCCACAUUGGGACUGAGAGACGGAGCAGAGUCCUACGGGAGGCAGCAGUGGGGAAUAUUGCACAAUGGGCGGAAGCCUGAUGCAGCAACGCCGCGUGCGGGAUGACGGCCUUCGGGUUGUAAACCGCUUUCGCCUGUGACGAAGCGUGAGUGACGGUAAUGGGUAAAGAAGCACCGGCUAACUACGUG
rnacentral:rRNA from 1 species